AGCAGUAGCCACGGGAAUACAGAGGGUGCGAGCGUUAAUCGGAUUUACUGGGCGUAAAGCGUGCGUAGGCGGCUUUUUAAGUCGGAUGUGAAAUCCCUGAGCUUAACUUAGGAAUUGCAUUCGAUACUGGGAAGCUAGAGUAUGGGAGAGGAUGGUAGAAUUCCAGGUGUAGCGGUGAAAUGCGUAGAGAUCUGGAGGAAUACCGAUGGCGAAGGCAGCCAUCUGGCCUAAUACUGACGCUGAGGUACGAAAGCAUGGGGAGCAAACAGGAUUAGAGACCCCUGUAGUCCCUGUCUCUUAUAC
rnacentral:rRNA from 1 species